rnacentral:rRNA from 1 species
GACGAACGCUGGCGGCGUGCUUAACACAUGCAAGUCGAACGGAAAGGCCCUGCUUUUGUGGGGUGCUCGAGUGGCGAACGGGUGAGUAACACGUGAGUAACCUGCCCUUGACUUUGGGAUAACUUCAGGAAACUGGGGCUAAUACCGGAUAGGAGCCCCUGCUGCAUGGUGGGGGUUGGAAAGUUUCGGCGGUUGGGGAUGGACUCGCGGCUUAUCAGCUUGUUGGUGGGGUAGUGGCUUACCAAGGCUUUGACGGGUAGCCGGCCUGAGAGGGUGACCGGCCACAUUGGGGCUGAGAUACGGCCCAGACUCCUACGGGAGGCAGCAGUGGGGAAUAUUGCACAAUGGGCGGAAGCCUGAUGCAGCAACGCCGCGUGCGGGAUGACGGCCUUCGGGUUGUAAACCGCUUUCGCCUGUGACGAAGCGUGAGUGACGGUAAUGGGUAAAGAAGCACCGGCUAACUACGUG